rnacentral:rRNA from 1 species
UACGAAGGGGGCUAGCGUUGCUCGGAAUCACUGGGCGUAAAGGGCGCGUAGGCGGCGUUUUAAGUCGGGGGUGAAAGCUUGUGGCUCAACCACAGAAUGGCCUUCGAUACUGGGACGCUUGAGUAUGGUAGAGGUUGGUGGAACUGCGAGUGUAGAGGUGAAAUUCGUAGAUAUUCGCAAGAACACCGGUGGCGAAGGCGGCCAACUGGACCAUUACUGACGCUGAGGCGCGAAAGCGUGGGGAGCAAACAGG